UCGUUCACUGGGGGGAGCCGGAUAUCCCGGCUGAGAGGUUUCCUCGCGAAACGACCCCACGAACCUGACCCGGGUAAUACCGGCGGAGGGAACAGUGCGCUGAUGGACG
rnacentral:ncRNA from 2 species